rnacentral:rRNA from 1 species
AUGAACGCUGGCGGCGUGCCUAAUACAUGCAAGUCGAGCGAACGGACGAGAAGCUUGCUUCUCUGAUGUUAGCGGCGGACGGGUGAGUAACACGUGGAUAACCUGCCUAUAAGACUGGGAUAACUUCGGGAAACCGGAGCUAAUGCCGGAUAAUAUUUUGAACCGCAUGGUUCAAAAGUGAAAGACGUUCUUGCUGUCACUUAUAGAUGGAUCCGCGCUGCAUUAGCUAGUUGGUAAGGUAACGGCUUACCAAGGCAACGAUGCAUAGCCGACCUGAGAGGGUGAUCGGCCACACUGGAACUGAGACACGGUCCAGACUCCUACGGGAGGCAGCAGUAGGGAAUCUUCCGCAAUGGGCGAAAGCCUGACGGAGCAACGCCGCGUGAGUGAUGAAGGUCUUCGGAUCGUAAAACUCUGUUAUUAGGGAAGAACAUAUGUGUAAGUAACUGUGCACAUCUUGACGGUACCUAAUCAGAAAGCCACGGCUAACUACGUG